UACGUAGGGUGCAAGCGUUGUCCGGAAUUAUUGGGCGUAAAGAGCUCGUAGGCGGCUUGUCGCGUCGUUCGUGAAAACCUGCAGCUCAACUGCAGGCUUGCGGUCGAUACGGGCAGGCUGGAGUUCGGUAGGGGAGACUGGAAUUCCUGGUGUAGCGGUGAAAUGCGCAGAUAUCAGGAGGAACACCAAUGGCGAAGGCAGCUCGCUGGGACGUGACUGACGCUGAGACGCGAAAGCGUGGGGAGCAAACAGG
rnacentral:rRNA from 1 species